UGGGGAAUAUUGGACAAUGGGCGAAAGCCUGAUCCAGCCAUGCCGCGUGUGUGAAGAAGGUCUUCGGAUUGUAAAGCACUUUAAGUUGGGAGGAAGGGCAUUAACCUAAUACGUUAGUGUUUUGACGUUACCGACAGAAUAAGCACCGGCUAACUCUGUGCCAGCAGCCGCGGUAAUACAGAGGGUGCAAGCGUUAAUCGGUAUUACUGGGCGUAAAGCGCGCGUAGGUGGUUUGUUAAGUUGGAUGUGAAAUCCCCGGGCUCAACCUGGGAACUGCAUUCAAAACUGACUGACUAGAGUAUGGUAGAGGGUGGUGGAAUUUCCUGUGUAGCGGUGAAAUGCGUAGAUAUAGGAAGGAACACCAGUGGCGAAGGCGACCACCUGGACUAAUACUGACACUGAGGUGCGAAAGCGUGGGGAGCAAACA
rnacentral:rRNA from 1 species